CCCUUAGAUGUUCUGGGCUGCACGCGUGCUACACUGAUAUUGCCAAUAUGUCAUUCUUAUCCGAAAUGGAUUGGGUAAUCAAGUAAUGAAAUUUCAUGCUUGGAAUCGGUAAUUGCAAUUUUAUCGUGAACGAGGAAUUCCUAGUAAGCACUAGUCAUCAGCUAACGUUGAUUAUGUCCCUGCCCUUUGUACACACCGCCCGUCGCUACUACUGAUUGGGUGUUCAAGUGAGAUGCUUAGACCCUUGUUGCAUGGUUCAUUAUUGUGCUCCGAAAGGAAAAAGUUUCAAGCUUGAGUGUCUAGAGGAAGUAAAAGUCGUAACA
rnacentral:rRNA from 1 species